GACGAACCGAGCGAACGUUGUUCGGAAUCACUGGGCUUAAAGGGCGCGUAGGCGGUUUGCCAAGUCAGGGGUGAAAUCCUGCAGCUCAACUGUAGAAGUGCCUUUGAUACUGGCGAACUCGAGGGAGGUAGGGGUGGGUGGAACUUCUGGUGGAGCGGUGAAAUGCGUUGAUAUCAGAAGGAACGCCGGUGGCGAAAGCGACCCACUGGAUCUCUACUGACGCUGAGGCGCGAAAGCUAGGGGAGCAAACGGG
rnacentral:rRNA from 1 species